CUCCUGCUCUGACUUCCCCCUUUGAUUUAUUAUAGCCAUGAAAUGCUCUACUCUCUUCUCUUUUCCUUGCUGUCUCUUGGGGCUGGAGGAACACAGGCAUCCCUGGGCGUCCGGCCUUGGCCCGCUGCCCCCGUCUCCUCCCGAGGCCAGGGCUCCAGGGCCAGCACAGAGAGACUUGUUUGUAUAUGGAAGACUGGAAGCGCCCAAAGCCCCUCACCUGGGGACAGCUUGUGUCAAUCACGACAGUUCUGCACAGGGAGGAAGAGACGCCGGUGCAGCACCGGCCUCCUCCGUAAAUAGGAAAAUCUGCUCAGAGGAGAGGGCUGGACCCAGCUCAGGGCCCAGGAGUCACCCUGCGUGUGACCCCCGGCACAACGAAGAAAGAAGAAAAGGCUGAACUGCACUGUUGGAAAUGCUUAUAAAGAAAAGCAGGGGAAAACAACCAAAAUGCCCAUCAAUUGCAGAGUGGAUGAAAAAGGUGUGGUAUUUUUAUACAGUGGAAUAUUACUCAGCUAUAAAAAGGAUGCUCUUGAGGCCUUCAUGGGUAAAUGGAGACAACUCUUUCCUCAUAUGAGAAAUAAAUAAGAAUCAUAUUUACAAAUAUCACAUUAUGUCUCUAGUGUAAAAAAUAGUAAGAACUGUAGGAGUAAUAAAACCCAAAAUGUGUAAUUGCUAUUGUAAAAAAGAGAGGAAAAGGAAGUGCUCUAAAGGAUAUAACUGCACGUAUGUUAGUGUGUAGAAUUGACAAUCACAUUACUAAGUAUUACUAAGUUUUUGUUGGAUCGUUGAGCAGAACUGUUUGUAGUCUCACUGUUUGCAUGUACACUUUGUAUGCUUUACUUUUGUAACUUGAAUAACUAUUUCUUUUUUUUUUUUUUUUAUCAGUACUGGGGAUCGAACUCACGACCAUGUGCUUGCAUGGCAGGCGCUUAUGCUACUGAGCUAAAUCCCCAGCCCCUCUAUUUCUAAGAUGACAGUAUAUAAUUUAUCAACUAGUGAUUUCUCACUCUUUAUCUUUUUUGAAAUUCUGUAUUAUUAGUACCUUUUUUUUCUGUUUUGCUUUUUUUUUUCCUCUUUAAAAAAAAAAAAAAAAGCAAGGGGGCUGGGGAUUUAGUUCAGCAGUGCAGCACCUGCCUGGCAAGCGUGAGGUCCUGAGUUUGAUUCCAGGUUACCCCUGCCUGCCAAAGAAGCAAGGAGCCAGGUGUGGUGGUACAGUACACAUUCAUUAUCCUAGCUCUUGGGAGGCUGAGACAGGAGGAUUUCCAUGAGUUUAAGUCUAACAUAGAGAGAUUUUGUUUCAAAAAGGAGGAGAGGGGCUGGGGAUGUAGCUCAGUGGGAACACCUGCCCAGCAUUCAUAGGACCCUGGGGUCCAUCCCUAGCACUGCCCCUUCCCUCCCUCCUUUCUUCCUUCUUUCUUUCCUUCCUUCCUUCAUUUUUCAUGCUGGGGAUCCAAUCCAAGGUCUCCCACACAUUAGGCAAGCGUCUUACCACUAAGCUACCUCCCAAGUCCUGAUGCUUAAUUUUUUGACCUGAAGCACCGUUGCAUAGGUGUUCACUUUAUUCUUCAAACUAUGCAUCAUUUGAAAAGUCUCACAAUUAGGCAUGGUGGUACCCACCUGUAGAGCCAGCUACUUAGGAGGCUGAGGCAGGAGGAUUUCUUGAGCCUGGGAGCUUGGGACAGCCUGGGAAACAUCAUGAGAUCCUAGUACAGAGGAUCCUCACCUUGUGAGGGACUUUACACCCUGGCAAGCCCAUCAUAAGUUGGAGAUACUUUUAAUGCAUGUAACUGGUAACACCUCCUCGCUUAGCAAUGCUGAACACUGUAGAAAAUCAAUGGUGACCAGCAACUGUGGCGACUGCCACUGCCUAGUGUCACAGAGGAAUCUCAGACCACCUAUUGCCAGCCAGGGAAGAGAUCAAGAUUGGAAAUGCGAAGUAUUUUGGUAGAAGUUUCUAUGGAUCCUUUUCACAUGAUCAUAAAGUAAAACAGAAAACCCUAGGUGGGGUCAUCACAGAUCGGGGAGCGUCUGCACAUCCGAGUGGUGGAUACUCCACCGUCAUUACAGUGAACAGCACUAGCCAGGCACAGUGAUGCACGUGCUCGUCAUCUCAGCACUCAGGAGGCUGAGGCCGGAGGGUCGUCAUGAGUUCAAGGACAGCCUGGACUACCCGGUGAGACCCUCUCUCAACAACUUAAAGUGAAACAGAUUUUAAACGACUGUCUCUGUGUCUGCAGGCUCCUGUCUGCCCCGAUCGUGCCCCAGCGGACACGCAGGAUCAGGUAGCAGGGGUGGCCGCCGUGGAAGAGGAAGUGGGGAGUUGUGGAUCUUUUCUGUUUUGGAUUUCGAACCAUACACCUGUGUUAUCUAUUCAAACAAUAAAACAAUGAAAAACUUCUCAUUAA